UAUGUCUAUAUUACAAGAAGAUUUAAACUUUCUUUUAACAAUAUUCAAUACAAUUUUUAAUAUUAAAAUAAAUACUGAUGUUAAAAUUACACAUGUGAUAGCAUACACAUUGUUUAUGUCAUCCUUCAUCUCUUGCUUGACAUUGUAAUACAAACACUUUAUUCUCUCUUCAAAAUUAUUUAUUAACUCGAAAUCCUGCCGCACGCAUGUCUUUUUGACGACGACGUGUCACAUGUCUUCUUAGCAAUGUGCAUUUUUGAACCUUUACAAUGGCGAGAGUCGUUUUUGACACUGUGCAUUUUUGAACUUGUAAAAUGGCAUCUUACAGAGUCUCUUAAAUACCUAAGCACAAUAGUUGUCGAGACGAAAUAGUGUAGUUUGUUAAGGCGCUGAAUUCGACCAUGAAGACUGGUUGUUCGAUUCCCGGCUCGACAUUUUUUAUUAAAAAAAAAAAUAUUCUCUAUUGUUUCGUCACGUCGUAUGACGUGGAUCGUCGGAUGACAACAUGACUUUCGUGAAGUCACGCAUGAUAAGAGUUGCGUUACGUUACAUCGCGCGUCGUUACCUUUUUUAAAUCCCCAUUCUUGAACCCGCUUUGUCUCACUAUUUGCAAUAAAUAAAAUUUUUUGAAAAUAAAUAGUUUUUUUUAUAUUUUCCUUAUUUAGUCGUAUUAAAUUCGAUAAUUUUGUGUUUCAAUUUAUUUCUUCAAUGGCAAAAACAAUUUUUUGUUAUAAGUGGUAAUUGUUGUAGUUUUUGUCUUUAUGCUUCCAGUCUAAUAAGCCGUUUGGAAAAAAUAUUCUCAUAUCUGUUAACCACAUGUUUUAUUGCUGGUUCUCGUUUUUAUGGCUGUAGUAGGUAAAGAUAUCAAUUUUUUGAACAAGGCAUGUGCAAAUAACACAAUAAUAGAGUAAUAAAUAUUAUAGUUUUACAAUUUGUACAGAGCUGGCCAAAAGAAAAUAGUUUACUAUCAUAUUUGGCAGGAUUGAUUAUCAGAUUUUGAGGAAAUGAUGAUAUUUUCACCAUCUCUCCAAAAUAAUAUAAGUCUCAACACAUCUUAAAAUUUGAAUCCUUUACUAAUUUAUAUUUGUUUUCUUGUUAAACACGAAGUUUGUUUAAACUUGGAAAAACUAAGAAAAAAGAAAAGUAUGACAAGUGAAACAUUUUCAAUUACAUUUAAGUUUAUGGAUUGGAUGUUUCAUACGUUUCGAGAAUUCACAAACUGGGGAUCUUUUGAGUCGUUAAAUAAAGCAUCUUCUUCUUUUAUUCAAAUCCAAUUUAGAGAAAAUCGUUGAUUAUAUUAUUACAGCUUGAGUGGAAGGAUUUGUCUUGGUGAGAAAAAAGAUCAUUUUCUUAAUGACUAUCUUCAUUUUGUAUUAGUUCUGAAUAAUUUUGUCACGUGGUACCAAGUAUUUUCCCACGGAGAUUCCGAAAAUCACAUCUGUUUUCGAAUUUGAGCAAUGAUUUUCGUGAAAUCUCAUUCUCUCCUUGUGGAUUAUCACUCAUACAAUUUUUUUCUUUGCAUUUUUUGUUCCUCUUUUGUUUUCAAAAUAGAUUCCGAGCUACUCACUUCAUUAUCGUGUUAAUUCAUAUUAUUUUCACUAGUUGAUAAGCAUUUUUUUUCAGAUUAGUGUUUCCUCCCUCGUUUACUUGUUUGAUAUCCAACUUUUGCCCUUACCAUGUUUCUAUUCGUUUAGUUUGACUGAAAUUCUCCUGACUUUAAUUUUAUCAUCAGUGUUAUUAAAUCAAUUAUAUUUUCCACAGUAUAAUCCAUCACAAAAUAUGUAAUUAUUUUGGAUUUACACAAAAGAAAAUAUAAACAGAGAGAGAUUAACUUUUUAAACUAGGCAAUUCUUCUUUUUCGAUCGGCUUUAUAGCCUUCUUUUUUAAUAAACAUCAAAUAGUUAUUUUUUUUAAACAAAAUAAUGGUUAGAUGUUCAUCUGUCAAAUAUUAAUUAACCUCAAUUGAAUAAUAAACUAAAUAUAAAUGAAAUUAUUUCAAAUAUUAAGAUUUGCAGGAAGGAAAAGCAAUGCUGAAAAUCAGACUAACAAGAUAUUUUUUAAAUGGAAAAUUUGAAGAUUUGCACUCAAAACGUGUCUACAAAUUUGUCAUUAUUAUUUGAUAGAAUGUAUAAUAAAAAACGUUGAUGGGGGCAGUUGCAAGUUAAACAUUAAAUUUACCAGUUUAAAGUUUAUUCUGGAACAGCACAUCAAAAGGACCUAGAGCAAUUGUUUCAGGCAAAUUAAAGUUAUUGAUCAAGUUAUGGAAGACACUUCAAUGUUACCAUCAAUGUAAAUGAAGUCUGAGAAGUCUCGGCUGGAUCCAUCUUGAAUUGUAAUCCAUUUGAAAACAAAUAUAAAACUUGAGCUGAAAACUCUUAAAUUGAAAAAAGGUAUAAAAAGAGAUGAACGACAGUAAUCCUCGGAGAUUGCUCUGUUUCUUAAUUUCCACGCAUGUACCUAAAUCAAACGGCAAAAUGUCCGAGCAAACUAAUUUUUGCUGUCAUAUGUUCAGAUAAACAAUGGUUAUUCUAUAAGAAAUUAUUAAGGUGUAGGUAAAUUGUUUAGAAUUCAAUGUUUUUAAUGGUUUACUACUAUGGAGUCUGGUAUGUUUAUUUUAGAUAUAUUUUAUGGACCAUUAUUACAUCCUUUUUUUUUGUUGAAAGUAUCCUUUAUUUAUUUUUCUACAUUAGUUAUCAAAAUUUACUAGAGGUAUAAUAUAUUUGGAAAACAAAACCUGCAGUGCAGUUUAGGAACUCUUUUCAUCUGUUUAUAGAAUAGUUUGUUUAGAUUAUAUCAAGGGUUUAAUACAGAUAAUGAAAAUUGACUGUGCAGCCCCUUUUUAGAUGCCUUCAUCUUUGUUGGUAGAAUUUCUUAUCUACUCCACAUUUCGAAUUUAUUUUUGAUAUUCAUGAGAAAAAUAACGUUUAAUAGAAUAUUUUUGUUUAAUAGAAUAUUUUUUGAUAUCGUUUGUCUAAUUUGGGGAUGAGGACCACCCUACAUUAUGGGAAGUUUUAAAAUCACAGAAUUCUCUAUAUCAAGAUAAAAAUGAUUUGUUUUGUACUUUAUACAUACGCAGCUAAUAUUUUGGAACUUGGAAUAAAUUUCAAUAACAUUGUUUCAAAUUCUACAAUCCUUAAUUAAUAUAAAAAUUUUCAUGUACCUGUAAUCACUAAUAAAAGUAAUAAUUCGAAAAACAAAGGUAUGUCGUAAAACAUUAAAAGUAUACAGAUUCCCAAAAGGAAAUUACUAUUAUUUGCUGCCCAUAACCUCUACUUAUAUAGUCAUUUAAUAAUAUUAAUUUAUUGUGAAUUGUAAUAAUUAAAUCUAUGCCAUGUUUUAUUGUGAGUAUUAUAUCUAUUAUCAAUAAUUAUUUAAAACUUUCUUAGAAAUAUUAUUAAAAAUAUAUCUUGCUUUAUAUUGCUUUAUUUAUUUUAUCUUUGAAAACACUAUUUUAUUCAAUAUGGAAAUUAUAUAUCAAAAUAAUUAUGUAAUAUUUAAUUACUUAUUAUUUAAUAAAUCAAAACUUUACA